AGCCGCUCGGCCUAGAGCGGCUCGCCGGCCUCCCGGUCGGCCACGCGCUAAAACUGGUUUCAGGAAUCUGAGCUACACCCCAAAAUGGGGAGAACGCGGAUCGAAAGGAGGCCUUCCCGGCCGCGUCCUAAGUGACAGCCAUGUGAUGUGCCUGCUCCCACUUCGCCUUCUGCCAUGCGUAAAAGCUACCUGAGGCCUGCCCAGAAGCAUAUGCCAGCACUGUGUUUCCCGUACAGCCUGCAGAAUCAUGAGCCAAUUAAACCUAUUUUCUUACACAUUA